AGGUUUUUUGUUUUUCUUUU
rnacentral:miRNA from 1 species